UGCGUCCCGGGGCCCACCCGCCCGCCCGCCCGCCGGCAGGGCCCGGCGGAGCCCUGCCGGCCGUGUGCCGCCCGCCGGGCGGGAUUUGUGCUGUGUCAGCCCCGGCCCCGGCCCGUGUGGGGCUUUGCCCCUCGUUCUGCCCCGCUGCGCUCGCUCGCCUCCCGCUGCCGCGGCGUCGGGGGCUGUUCGUGGUGUUUUGUUUCCUCCCCUCGCACGGACAGCGCGUGUUUCGUAACCGAGUGCCGCUGGAGCCCGCACGGACCCACAGCGCAGGGUGCGCGCUGCCUUCCUGCCUGGGAAACACGGGGAGCGGGACACGGCCCCGAGCUGCGCCAGCCGAGGGUUAGGGUGGCCAUGAGGAGGGAUUUCUUCAGAGAAGGGAUGAUUAGACACUGGAAUGGGCUGCCCGGGGAGGUGGUGGAGUCACCGUCCCUGGGGGGUGUUUAAGGAAAGGCUGGACGUGGCACUCAGUGCCGUGGUCUGGUUGACACGGUGAUGUUUGGUCGCAGGUUCGACUCGAUGAUCCCAGAGGUCUCUUCCAACCCGAUUGAUUCUUUGAUAUUCUGUGGUUAGACAGGUCCUUUAACUCACUUCUUGUGCUUUUAUCUGCGUGUGUUGUUUCUUUAGGUUUUACUGUUGCCUUAAUUGCUUAUGGCUUCAAGUCUUUCAGAUGCCUCAUGGAACAAUGACGUGUGGCUUAGCGUUGUUCCCUCAGGAACUGCUGAACCUUGAGAUUGCAUUUUCUGCUGGAUAGUGAACAUACUGCUGGAAAUCAAGGCCUUCUCAGACCACAGAUGGAGUAAGGGAUGGGGUGGAGCAGUUCAUGAAGAGCUGCAGCCCGUGGGAAAGACUCCCUUUGGAGAUGCUGGGAAGGGACCCCAUGCUCGAGCAGGGGAAGAGUUUGAGAAGUCCAGCUUCUGAGGAGGAAGGAGCAAGAGAGACAAUGUGUGAGGAACUGACUGCAGGAAGGGUGGAGAGAUUUGUUUUUCUCGUGAUCCUGCUCUGACUUUUGAUAAGUAAUAAAUGACACGAAUUUUUCCCCAA